ensembl:lncRNA
GGUACAUAUGCAUGUACAUACAUACCUACGUGUGUGUGUAUAUAGGUACAUACACAUGUACAUACAUACAUACGUGUGUGUGUAUUUUUCCAUCCAACAGAAUUAUGGCAACAGCAAGUAAGAAGAUAAUGAUCCUGAGAAUCAACAUCCAAGACCAGUGGUCAGUCCAGCAGGAAAGAGAUAAAGGUGGCAUGGGACAAGUGCCACCCUCGCCUCUGGGGACCAUCACCCAGACACCAAGCAGGUCCUCUCACCGCUCUCGGACUCCAUCCUGGCUGAGAAGACGGUGAUCGUCCUGGAUGACUGAGUCACCAUCGCGGAGCUGGGAGUGCAGCUCGUAGCUGGCAUGUCUCUCUCCCUGCAGCCUCACCCAGCAGACAAAAGGGCCAUCGUCUCCACAGCCGCUGCCCUGGAUGUUCUUCAGUCCCCACAACAGGUGAGCGUCCCAGGGGCCCAGCGUCCCUGGUCAGUGGAGACAACUUCUUUCUCAGUUAGCACAUCCUGUGAAGGAGAGCAGGAGUCCUCAUGCCUAGAACUGGGGAUUCUUGAAGCUUCUUGCUUCUUAUCCAGGUGGCCCUGUCUCUGAGGAAAGUAUUCAGUGGCUUAGACACAUUUCCUCUUAUGUGCUUUUCCACACCCACCAUGUCCCCAUACGCCAUUUGCUUUACCCUGGGCUUAUCUGUGCCAGGCACAGCCUGCUGCUAGACCGUGACCAAAGGAUCACGUUUUCACUUUUCUAGAAUAAAUUAUAUUUGAUAUCUGAAAAUUCGAUUUCAGCAAUGUAAACAAAUAGAGCUUGCGAACCCCGAAUAUCAGAGACAGGUCUCAGUCAAUUUAGGAAGUUCAUUUUGCCAAGGUUAAGGACGCACCUGUGACACAGCCUAAGGAAGUCCUGACAGCAUGUACCCAAGAUAGCCGGGGUCUACAGCUCGUUUUUAUGCGUUUUCGGAAGAUACGAGACAUCCUUCAGUACACGUAAGAUUUACAUUGGUUCCAUCUGGAAGGGCAGGGCAACUGCAAGGUUGGGGGAGCUUCCAGGUGAUAGGUCGAUUUCUACAUAUUCCGACUGGCAAUUAGUUAAAAGAGUGUUGAAUUAUUAUCAGUAGAAGGGAAUGUCUGGGUUAGGAUAAGGAGUUGUAGAGAUUUAGGUUUUAUCAUGCAGAUGAAGCCUCCGGGUUGCAGGCUUUAGAGAGAAUAAAUUGGAAACGUUUUUACCAAACUUAAGAUUUGCGUCGAUGUUAAUGCUGGAGGGGCAUAAGGAGGCAUAUUGGAUCCACACUUCCCAUCGUGGCCUGAGCCAGUCUUUCAGGUUAAAUCUUACAGUGCUCUGGCGAGGAGGAAGUUCACUUAGAUGCUGGAACGGUGAGUGGACCUUCGAAUUUUAUUUUUGGUUUACAAGCUAAAAGGCACCAAUUCCUGUUGGUUUAUAUUAAUUAUUAACAAGUCUUAAACCACAACCCCAUCUUUGAACUUGAAGCAAAUCUGUUUCAAUUAUCCCAAGUUCAUUGUGUCUUCAAGCACGCUAAUCUCCCAUAAUACAUCUUUCCUCAGAUACUUUCAGCAUGGCUUCCUAAUAAAAAUGCUUGACGAGAUUUUAUCUUGAGCCUGAUUAGUUGCACCUGAAAUUGAUUUGCAUGCAUCAUGUGAUCUUUCAAGUUCUUUUUGGAAACGUCAAAGUCAAAUCCUGUUAUGUGAGAUUCAAUCCGUUAAUAUACACAUGACUGCAUUCAUUAAAGUAUAUCAUUUGUUCCUUGCACCACUGGGGCUAUAAACCAUUAUUGACGUCAGUUGAAUAUAUGACAGCCACUGUUCUGGAUUCUAAAACACAGAAGCUUAUUUUCCGUGGUAUGCAGAAAACGUAUUUUAUAGGAGACCACAUUUGUGUACGUGUUCAGAAAUUUGAAAGAACCUGCGUUGGUUUCACUUUCUUUAGGAAGUAAUAGUCCUUGGAUGUUGUUCAGUGAUAGUGUGCUCGGUUGAUUUUGUUCCAUGAUCUCUUUAGAGAUUUGUUAACCUGAGGAUUCUUCAGUUACUGUCUUAUCAUUGGAUGAAAUGGUGGUGUCUGUCCAGGCAAACCUGGAGUCCAAAUGGUUGGUAGCGAUUGCAGAAGGUGAAGGACAGGUGCUCUUGUUUAAAUUAGAAAUGACGAUUAGUGAGCUUUUCAGGUUCGCAAUGAAGAAGAGAGUCAAGUUUACUUCCUACAUCAGCAUCCUCUGAGGGGAUAGUGGACCAUACACCAACUCUGUCCUGUUUGACAAUGAUGAUAACAUCAAGUGGGUCUGCCAAGGUGUGCAGCUGGGGGAACCCCAGGACUUUGGAGACUGCAGUUGGCCUUCUGCAUUUGCGGUUCCGAAUUUGUGGAUUCAAGGAACCUCAAAUUGAAAAAUAUCCUUCCCCAAAACAAUGAAAAGUAACAAUACAAAGGUAAAAAUAAUGAAAAUUUAAAAAUAAUGCAGCAUAAACAAUAUUUACAUAGAAUUAGUAUAUAAGUAAUCUGAAGAUGAUUUAAAGUAUAAGAGAAGAUGUGCAUAGGUUAUCUGCAAAUAUUGCACCAUUGUAUAUGAGGGACUUGAAAAUCCUUGGAUUUUGGUGUCCAUGGGGUUCCUGAAACCAAUGUCCUGUGGAUGCCAAGGGACUAUUUAAUAUGGGAAAACUGCAAGACCAGAUGUAAACUCUUUUCUUAUGUUUAUAUUUAUCUGCAUAUCUUUUGGUUGCUUCAGUAGUGAAGUGGUGAGUUUUAUCAUCAAUAGGGGAUGAUUUAGCAAAGCUUAAUUUGUGGAAGUCUUGUAGGAUCUCUUUUUAGGCAGGUAACAGAGGUUUGAAGCAGAUGGCUUUUAAGUGAGGGUGUGCCCCAGACAAUGACACGGAGAUGCUGGAAACAUCAUAGGACAAUAUUUUCACAUACUUCCUGGAACUGGUGUUGUACAAUAAAUCUAAGACUUUGGAUGUUAUUAGUCAUCUGCGGGUAAACAGCCACUUGGAAUCAGAAAGGAUUUGGGCAUUGAUUUUUCUAUUCUUAGUCUCUUACGAAGCAUAGUGGCCACCGCUUGUCCUUGGCCUGAGAGUAGGUGCAUAUAAAAGAUAAUGGAAUGUUACCACCCUUAUUUGGAAAGAGCACUGCUCUUGUUUUGAAUACUGAGGGAAAGGGCCGGGACUAAGGAGCGGCUGCCAGAGGGUAGUGGAGGGUGCCGC